AGAAGCAGCACUAGUGGUGGAGAAGAGGUAGUGGUGGUCGGUGUCAGGAAGCAAAGGUUCCUUCUCGGUUGAGAAAGAUCAGCGUGCAUGGCUGCCGGCUUCAGCCUUUCUCACACAAUUUUUUUUCUUUUUUUUUUUAUGAUAACUACAUCGAUCACUAUAGCAAGAAUGCCAAGGAUCGCUGCUUUGAUACCAAAUAAUAAGACCCUAAGGUCU
rnacentral:lncRNA from 1 species